AAUUUGAGUACCAUUAUGUGCAAUCUUAAUAUUGAUAGGAGUUCACAAUAAAACAAAACCCUGUUCAUUUUUUUUCUUUUUUUAGAGGAAUCGAAAGUUACAUACUCUGAGCUGGUGAACCUACCCAUUAAGAAUACAUGUCGUCCUCAUGCAGAUGGUUGCAGUGUGCUGUAUGCUACAGUUACCACAAGAAACCACAAGGUAUAACAGAUGUUCACUUCCACCAUCAAAGUUAAGACGUUCCUGAUGCCACAAUUUCUACCACUCCACGUGUCUACUUGCAAAGCUACAUUUGAGAUUCUGUGAAUAUUGGUCAUUACUGGUCAUUUUAAUACACAGUAAACAGGAGUACUCAUAUUCAGUUCGGCUCAUGUUUUUAAACAUUAACAUCUAAAGUAAAACAAAAAAAAAAUCAAAGAUCAUAAAAUAUGCUCUUUCAAAUAACAAUAUGUUUAUUGGUAAUUUAUCAGCAUAGAUAUUUGCAUUUUGUCUCUUUCAAGAAUGUAUGGUUGCAGUUCCUGUCUUGUUGCUGCUGGACACAAAUGCAAGCCACUGGUU